rnacentral:rRNA from 1 species
CGCUGGCGGCGUGCCUAAUACAUGCAAGUCGAGCGACCAGACGAGGAGCUUGCUCCUCUGACGUUAGCGGCGGACGGGUGAGUAACACGUGGAUAACCUACCUAUAAGACUGGGAUAACUUCGGGAAACCGGAGCUAAUACCGGAUAAUAUAUUGAACCGCAUGGUUCAAUAGUGAAAGACGGUUUUGCUGUCACUUAUAGAUGGAUCCGCGCCGCAUUAGCUAGUUGGUAAGGUAACGGCUUACCAAGGCAACGAUGCGUAGCCGACCUGAGAGGGUGAUCGGCCACACUGGAACUGAGACACGGUCCAGACUCCUACGGGAGGCAGCAGUAGGGAAUCUUCCGCAAAGGGCGAAAGCCUGACGGAGCAACGCCGCGUGAGUGAUGAAGGUCUUCGGAUCGUAAAACUCUGUUAUUAGGGAAGAACAAAUGUGUAAGUAACUAUGCACGUCUUGACGGUACCUAAUCAGAAAGCCACGGCUAACUACGUG